GACAAAAUCAAAACUUGUUAAAUCAAAAACUUGAAAUAUUCAUUUCAUCUCCUGAUAAUAUAUCUGAUUGAACACGUAAUAAUGAUGAAUUGGAUAACAGAAGCUACUGAACUACCUUCAAUAUAACAAAAUAUCCAAACAGUGAAAGAACAGAAGAGAGAGAUCAAAUUCUGCUUCACAAGCAAUCUAAAAAAGAGAUGUUCCUUUUCCUUUCUUGUCUCCGCCAAUCUCAAAAUGCUUGCACCUCUUGAUU
rnacentral:misc_RNA from 1 species